rnacentral:rRNA from 1 species
UAGCAUAACGAGGCGAACCGGGGGAACUGAAACAUCUAAGUACCCCGAGGAAAAGAAAUCAACCGAGAUUCCGAAAGUAGCGGCGAGCGAAAUUGGACUAGCCCUUAAGCUUUAUAGGCGUUAGGUGAACAAGCUGGAAAGCUUGGCGAUACAGGGUGAUAGCCCCGUAACUGACGACGCAUAUUCAGUGAAAUCGAGUAGGGCGGGACACGUGAUAUCCUGUCUGAAUAUGGGGGGACCAUCCUCCAAGGCUAAAUACUACUGACUGACCGAUAGUGAACCAGUACCGUGAGGGAAAGGCGAAAAGAACCCCUGUGAGGGGAGUGAAAUAGAACCUGAAACCGUGUACGUACAAGCAGUAGGAGCAGGCUUUGUCCUGUGACUGCGUACCUUUUGUAUAAUGGGUCAGCGACUUAUAUUCAGUGGCAAGGUUAACCAUCUAGGGGAGCCGUAGGGAAACCGAGUCUUAACUGGGCGUUCAGUCUCUGGAUAUAGACCCGAAACCAGGUGAUCUAGCCAUGGGCAGGUUGAAGGUUGAGUAACAUCAACUGGAGGACCGAACCGACUAAUGUUGAAAAAUUAGCGGAUGACUUGUGGCUAGGGGUGAAAGGCCAAUCAAACCUGGAGAUAGCUGGUUCUCCCCGAAAGCUAUUUAGGUAGCGCCUCGGACGAAUACUACUGGGGGUAGAGCACUGUUAAGGCUAGGGGGUCAUCCCGACUUAC